AGCGUGUAGGCGUGCCCCUUAGGCAAAUCCGGGGGGCUGAGCUGAGGCGUGAUGACGAGGAACCACGGUUCCGAAGUGAUUGAUACCAAGCUUCCAGGAAAAGCCACUAAGCUUCAGUCUAGAGUUGACCGUACCGCAAACCGACACAGGUGGGCAGGAUGAAAAUUCUAAGGCGCUUGAGAGAACUCAGGAGAAGGAACUCGGCAAAUUAACACCGUAACUUCGGGAGAAGGUGUGCCCCGGUAGCGUGUAGAGACUUGCUCUCGAAGCGCGAUGGGGUUGCAGUGAAAUGGUGGCUGCGACUGUUUAAUAAAAACACAGCACUCUGCAAACACGAAAGUGGACGUAUAGGGUGUGACGCCUGCCCGGUGCCGGAAGGUUAAGUGAUGGGGUGCAAGCUCUUGAUCGAAGCCCCGGUAAACGGCGGCCGUAACAAUAACGGUCCUAAGGUAGCGAAACUCCUUGUCGGGUAAGUUCCGACCUGCACGAAUGGCGUAACGAUGGCCACACUGUCUCCUCCUGGGACUCAGCGAAGUUGAAAUGUUUGUGAAGAUGCAAUCUACCCGCGGCUAGCGGAAAGACCCCAUAAACCUUUACUGUAGCUUUGCAUUGGACUUUGAACCGGUUUGUGUAGGAUAGGUGGGAGACUGUGAAGCCGGGACGCUAGUUUCGGUGGAGUCAACCUUGAAAUACCACCCUGAUUUGUUUGAGGUUCUAACCUUGGUCCGUGAAUCCGGAUCGGGGACCGUGCAUGGUAGGCAGUUUGACUGGGGCGGUCUCCUCCCAAAAGGUAACGGAGGAGUACGAAGGUACGCUUAGGGCGGUCGGACAUCGCCCACAAAGUGCAAUGGCAAAAGCGUGCUUGACUGCGAGACCCACAAGUCGAGCAGGUACGAAAGUAGGUCAUAGUGAUCCGGUGGUUCUGUAUGGAAGGGCCAUCGCUCAACGGAUAAAAGGUACUCUGGGGAUAACAGGCUAAUUCCUCCCAAGAGUUCAUAUCGACGGGGGAGUUUGGCACCUCGAUGUCGGCUCAUCACAUCCUGGGGCUGUAGUCGGUCCCAAGGGUAUGGCUGUUCGCCAUUUAAAGUGGUACGCGAGCUGGGUUUAAAACGUCGUGAGACAGUUUGGUCCCUAUCUGCCGUGGGCGCUGGAAAUUUGAAGGGGGCUGCUCCUAGUACGAGAGGACCGGAGUGGACGAACCUCUGGUGUACCGGUUAUGACGCCAGUCGUAUCGCCGGGUAGCUAAGUUCGGAAGAGAUAAACGCUGAAAGCAUCUAAGCGUGAAACUCGCCUUAAGAUAAGAUUUCCCGGAGUCUUGAACUCCCUGAAGGGUCGUCGAAGACCACGACGUUGAUAGGUCAGGUGUGGAAGCGCAGCAAUGCGUUAAGCUAACUGAUACUAAUUGCCCGUGCGGC
rnacentral:rRNA from 1 species